UCGGGAAAUCCACUCGCCUAACGAGUGGGCGUCCGGCGGAAACUACAGGGCUUGGGACCGGAAGACUUGAGGGGUACGUCUGGGGUAGGAGUGAAAUCCUGUAAUCCUGGACGGACCGCCGAUAGCGAAAGCACCUCAAGACGACGGAUCCGACAGUGAGGGACGAAAGCUAGGGUCUCGAACCGGAUUAGAUACCCGGG
rnacentral:rRNA from 1 species